AAUGAACGCUAGCGGGAGGCCUAACACAUGCAAGCCGAGCGGUAUUGUUUCUUCGGAAAUGAGAGAGCGGCGUACGGGUGCGUAACACGUGUGCAACCUGCCUUUAUCUGGGGGAUAGCCUUUCGAAAGGAAGAUUAAUACUCCAUAAUAUAUUGAACGGCAUCGUUUAAUAUUGAAAGCUCCGGCGGAUAAAGAUGGGCACGCGCAAGAUUAGCUAGUUGGUGAGGUAACGGCUCACCAAGGCGAUGAUCUUUAGGGGGCCUGAGAGGGUGAUCCCCCACACUGGUACUGAGACACGGACCAGACUCCUACGGGAGGCAGCAGUGAGGAAUAUUGGUCAAUGGGUGCAAGCCUGAACCAGCCAUCCCGCGUGAAGGACGACUGCCCUAUGGGUUGUAAACUUCUUUUGUAUAGGGAUAAACCUACCCUCGUGAGGGUAGCUGAAGGUACUAUACGAAUAAGCACCGGCUAACUCCGUGCCAGCAGCCGCGGUAA
rnacentral:rRNA from 1 species